rfam:Asian citrus Psyllid, Diaphorina citri - Florida Strain, whole genome shotgun sequence.
GCCUAGUUAGCUUAGUUGGUAGUGCGUCUGCCUUGUAAGCGCUAGGCCGUGGGUUCGAUUCCCGCUCAGGGCG